GCCCUUAUAGCUCAGUGGUAGAGCGCAUCACUCGUAUGAUUCGAUCACGCUUGCGAAAUGUUAAAUUACGUAAGCUGCUUAUGUAAUAUUACGUAAUGAUGAGGUCCAUUGUUCGAAUCAGUGUGGGGGCA